rnacentral:tRNA from 1 species
GGACCCUUAGCUCAACAGGAUAGAGCAACAGUUUCCUAAACCGUAGGAUUCAUUGGGUUCAGUUGGUUCGCGUCCAACAAGGUCCA